UGGUCCACCGCUUCAAUAAAAAAUGCAGCCACCUGAAUCCUUUUUCUAUCUCAGAAAACUGAAGCUGAGAAGCGAUUCAUAAAUUUUUGUCUUGAUGCUCCGAUCUAGGAUAAGUUUCUUUCCCUUAUCUCUUUAGAUCUGUUUCGCAUGUCGUUGGAUCCUAAAGUUUUAACAUAACUUUGAGAAAUCUGAUUGUUUGUUUUGGGUUAUUGAAACAGGAUAUUGAAGAGAGGGAGAAAGUUGUGCAUCUAACUGAUAUCAACUCUAUGGGAGAAAUUUGAAAAACCCCCGAUCCGAAAAGACCCAUUUCUGUAUUUUAAUUUCCUUGAUCUCAUAUGGUUUAUCUCGGUAUUUUAUGAUUUUAUGUUUUUUUUUUUGAAUUCCUUGAUCUCGAAUUCUUUCUCUCAGUAUUUUCAUCCACUUUCUCAACUAGGGUUUCAAAAUUAGAUUUGAUUGUUUUGUUCGAUCAUUCUGUUUGUUUUUGUUCGGCAUAAAAACAGAAGUAAUUGGGAGGUAUUGACAAUGACGAUACUGUAAUUGCGUCGUUCGUGGCUGUUAAUCAUGGCCAUGACGACCACUAUAUAUAUAUAUCACUACCCAUAUUCUGAGUUAAUUCCCUAAAUCAUCUCUUUAUUUCUUUGAUUUUGAUUUUUGUAUUUUUAUCUGAUUUAGGGUUUUGAUAAUACUUGUUUGAAAUUUAUUAAGGGGCUUAUGAUUAAAGAAAUUACAGACAAGCAUAUGGCUGAAUCUAUGUUAUGUUGAUAAAUCUAAUCUUCUCUAUGAAGCCUCUUUUCAGUUAGUAGUUUUUUUUUCUGUUACUUUUUGAUUUUUUGGAUGUUGGUAUUGUUUUGUAUUUGAUGACGGAGGAGUAUUGAAGUGAUGAUUGUUGCGUGGUUCAGACGAGAUUCGUCUCUGAUUAAUUUAAAAAAAAUUUGAUCUUUCGCUCCUAUAUGAUUACUUCUUCCUGAAUGUAAACAGAAAUUAGUCUCUGGAGAUGGUAAGUAAUCUUUGUGUUUCAUAGUUUCACUGAGAUGUUGGACAGUUAUGUGUAAAGGUGUCCGUGGUCUUUAGGAUUUGGAAAAGAAGAUGGAAAGAAGUUUUCCUUGUGGGUGUGAAGUGAUUAUCCCUUCACAGUGAAGACGGGGCAUACCACCAAAAGAAUUUAGUGAACAAAGGGAUGCGGAUGACGUAAGAUUAUUCUUAGAUGGUCAUGAUGUCGGUGGCAUUCGAAUUACAGUUGAAUUUGCAAAAGGGGUGGAGGUGGAAAUGGUAGGAUCUUGUGGAGGAGAGAGUACCUAAGUAGAGGUCCUCCUCCUGGAUCUGGCCGUUGCUUCAACUAUGGUCUUGAUGGUCACUCAGCUCGUGAUUGUAAAGCUGGAGACUGGAUGAAUAAGUGUUAACUGCUGUGGAGAUAAAGGCCACAUCGAAAGAAACUGCCUGAAUAGUUCAAAAAGCCUCAAGUAUCUGCGAAGUCUUUCUAAUCUGUUCUCUGAGCUUAUAUGUGUACAAUGAUGUGGAACAAACUCCUGUGGUGGCUGUACCAAGUGCUCAAGUGAUUGGGAAUGCUUUCGUGGAGAAGUACUAUCACAUCCUUCACCAAUCUCCGGAGCUGGUUUACUGGUUCUAUCAGGAUUUGAGUGUUUUCAGUCUGACCAGGGCCAGAUGGUUUUAUGUCAACAGUGUCAACCAUGGAUGACAUAAAUCAGAAAAUCCUGUCGUUAAACUCCAUAGAUUACGGCAGAGUUAAAACUACAGAUGCUCAAUACUCUCACAAGGAUGGGAUAAGUGUUCAGGUAACAAGAUGUUUAACUGGGAAGGACAAGUAGGAAGGAAGUUCACAGUCAGUUUUCCUUGCGCCACAGGAAAAGGGUUACUAUGUUCAGAACGAUGUUUUUAGGUAUCGUGACGGGGGUCAAGUGCUGAAGCUCGUGCCCAUAUUGGUUAAUGGAACAAGUGAAAGCAUAACACAGGCAGCUCAAGAACUUGGUUGGUCUCAUUCUUUUAUUAUUCUUUCUGCUUUUCUGUUACUGUAAUGGGACUUGAGUAUUGUUUUUCUUUUCAGAACCCUCUCACUUGUUCUGAAAAGGUCAAGAGUUUUUCUUUUAAACUUCUUUGGAGCAAAGUCGUACUUGGCUCAUUCAAGCAAAAUCGAGAGUUUCAGUCA